rnacentral:rRNA from 1 species
CGAGCGAAGCGGGAAGAGCUCAAAUUUAUAAUCUGGCACCUUCGGUGUCCGAGUUGUAAUCUCUAGAAGUGUUUUCCGCGUUGGACCGCACACAAGUCUGUUGGAAUACAGCGGCAUAGUGGUGAAACCCCCGUAUAUGGUGCGGACGCCCAGCGCUUUGUGAUACACUUUCAAUGAGUCGAGUUGUUUGGGAAUGCAGCUCAAAUUGGGUGGUAAAUUCCAUCUAAAGCUAAAUAUUGGCGAGAGACCGAUAGCGAACAAGUACCGUGAGGGAAAGAUGAAAAGCACUUUGGAAAGAGAGUUAACAGUACGUGAAAUUGUUGGAAGGGAAACGCUUGAAGUCAGACUUGCUUGCCGGAGCUUGCUUCGGUUUGCAGGCCAGCAUCAGUUUUCCGGGGUGGAUAAUGACGGUUUGAAGGUAGCAGUCUCGGCUGUGUUAUAGCUUUCCGUUGGAUACGCCCUGGGGGACUGAGGAACGCAGCGUGCUUUUUGCGAAAGACUCGUCUU